rnacentral:rRNA from 15 species
UGGGGGUAUUCGUAUUCAAUUGUCAGAGGUGAAAUUCUUGGAUUUAUGAAAGAUGGACUUCUGCAGAAGUGCUUUGGCGAGGAUAUUUUGAUCGAU